rnacentral:rRNA from 1 species
GUAGGUGGCAAGCGUUGUCCGGAAUUAUUGGGCGUAAAGCGCGCGCAGGCGGUCCUUUAAGUCUGAUGUGAAAGCCCACGGCUCAACCGUGGAGGGUCAUUGGAAACUGGGGGACUUGAGUACAGAAGAGGAAAGCGGAAUUCCACGUGUAGCGGUGAAAUGCGUAGAGAUGUGGAGGAACACCAGUGGCGAAGGCGGCUUUCUGGUCUGUAACUGACGCUGAGGCGCGAAAGCGUGGGGAGCAAACAGGGAUUAGAUACCCUGGUAGUCCACGCCGUAAACGAUGAGUGCUAGUGUUAGGGGGUUUCCCGCCCCUUAGUGCUGCAGCUAACGCAUUAAGCACUCCGCCUGGGGAGUACGGCCGCAAGGCUG